rnacentral:rRNA from 1 species
GACGAACGCUGGCGGCGUGCCUAAUACAUGCAAGUCGAACGAGUGGCGGACGGGUGAGUAAUGUCUGGGAAACUGCCUGAUGGAGGGGGAUAACUACUGGCAACGGUAGCUAAUACCGCAUACCCUCGGAUGUGCCCCGAUGGGAUUAGCUAGUCGGUGGGGUAAAGGCUCACCUAGGCGACGAUACCUAGCUGGUCUGAGAGGUUGACCGGCCACACAGGAACUGAGACACGGUCCAGACUCCUACGGGAGGCAGCAGUGGGGAAUAUUGCACAAUGGGCGCAAGCCUGAUGCAGCCAUGCCGCGUGUAUGAAGAAGGCCUUCGGGUUGUAAAGUACUUUCAGCGGGGAGGCGUUACCCGCAGAAGAAGCACCGGCUAACUCCGUGCCUGCAGCCGCGGUAAUAC